AGUUGAGGAUGUCCAGCCUCGUUGUCCUGUUGUGUGCAGUCCUCUACACCAGCGUUACAAGACUCCACAACAUAUAUGUACACAGUGAAAAUAUUUCAAAAGGGAAAGAUGCAAAACAGAGCAGUACCUAUUCCACCUAUCCCGCCAGCAAGGCUCUAGAUAAAGCACGUGCAUCCUCUGGAUCAUUAACAAAGCAAGACAACCCGUCCUGGUGGGAGGUGGACCUCAGAGGUUACUUCAACAUCAGCAACAUCACCGUCACUGCAACCUCCCAUAAGA
rnacentral:misc_RNA from 1 species